UCACAGUGCCUAGGUCACAGUGCCUACCGCGUUCACGUCGCUUCCUCUCAUCGUGGGGGCAUUUUAUCAUCUGACGACAAACACCACGGCAACAAGUAGGAUGUUUUCGUUUCAUCCGUUAAAGCUGAAAUCGAGUCUGGGAUGCAUUUUUGAGGCUCUUACCAAGAUGUCGUAAGAAACCCCAAUGGAGGCCAUGGCCUAAGUGCUCCCCACUUCUUGUCUGCUGCCUCCUGACUACUCUGGAGUUUCUCCAUAAUGGUGCUGGGUGGUGUGCUCUGUCUCCUGUCUCUAGGACCUAUGGGAAGCAGGAGCUACCUAAGAUACUGUUACUGAGGAUGAACUUAGUGCAUUGAAUUACUACUGGGGCAACUCUCCUUUUUGCCAGUGGCAUUGGCUCCAUCCAUUGAACAGAUAAGGAGCGGAGCACACAAGAUGGGCCUCAGAAAAUGAUGUUUCUGCUUUCCUUUGCCCUGUCUUGAUGAUCAAAGAGGGUGUUAGGAGCCCAGCUGAACCGAAAGUAAACUGGCCUGUGACUCAGAACCAGUCCUGAGGCUUCAGCUGUCAAGUUUACACCCCAGACUCUCAAGAGAAGAAAGAAGGAAGGGAAAAAAAGGCCCACGUCUACACUGGGCUGACUCCCUUUAAAGAGACUUCUCAGCUGUCCCACACCAUAAUUCUGCUUUCAUCUCACUAGUCCGAACUCAGUGUCAAAGUCACCUCUAACUGCAAAAGAGGCUUGGAAGUGCAGUGCUUCAGCUGGGAAAACAUGAUAGAGAAAGACACAGAGGGCCCCCAAGCUGCAGAUCCUGCCAGAAUUCUAAGGCAUUUUACGUGAACUACAUGAAGAAGUCGACAAGACCAACAAUAUUUAUAAGUGUUCUCUGUUGUAAGAUAUAUUUUGAUAUACUUAACAACAGUUCUGAGAAAACAGGCAGGACGUUUGAGGAAACAGGCAGGAGAGGACAACUGGCUGGAAAGAGGCAGAUGAAGAGUUCCAUCUGGCAAAGAUAGACCACAAAAGAUAAUCUGGGUCACAUUUUGGAGCUAUUGAUUAAAAGUUAACCAACAAAUAUUAACAGAUUUCCCACUCAGAAGAGGCAGAUUUACUUAUUUUGGCCCAGAGGCUAAAGUCAAGGCUAUAGGUGGCUCUCCGUUGACUCCUCUGGAACAUUGUGGAUGGGAAAAUAAGCAGUACUCGUGGAGGUAAUGUGUCAGGCAAGGCUCAUCUCGGGCAGCAACCACUUUCCUCUGCAGUGACCCCAUUUCGCUUGUGGAUCAAAAAGACGUAGCCAGGAAAAGUGAGGACUGGGACUGGGCACCCGGGGUGGGGCCGAGCUGAGCCAUUGAUCGGAAGGAACUCAAGUACAAUCCACACAGGGCAGUUCUGCAGCGUUUGCUCUCCAGCCUUUUGCUUCCUCUGACUGCAUUCAUCAUUGCCUUACCAGGGGUUAGAUCAAUCUAUUGCCUUUAAAACUUGUGGUAAAGCGUCUCUUUUGAAGAAUGUGCUCUGAGGGAGAGAUCAUACUUCUUUAAAACAACCUUCUGUCGGUCUGUUUGUCCAAUGCAGGUUUCCCAGAUGCCUCAUUAGACUUUCAUUCCAAGAGCUGGCUUUCAGACCACAUCGAGCAAAUCCUCUUAAAGGUGUUAGUUGGCAUAUCAUCUUGUUAGAGGUUUCUAGAGAAGAGAAAAGUCUACUAAAUUCAGAGACAUUCUUUCCUAAUAUUGGAAUUCAAGCACCGUGACAAGUCUAUGAGAGAGAGAAAUUGUUCUCGAAGCCUGCCAUACCCAAAAUGGUUUAGACCGCUUUCACAUUCCGAUACUCGACUAAAGAGUUAAUGAAGACUAUGUCUUAGCACCGGUGGUAUUUAUUUAACGUGCACUAUAAUCCCAGCUGACACUUCCUAAUGAGUUUAUUGCUGCUGUGGAGUUAAAGCUCCCCCACUCAAUAAGCAUAAACUUGAGUGUCAAAAAUGAAACAUAGUCAGCCCCGGUGCUUAAAUGGCCUGUAUCGAUCCUCCGGCAGUCUAACUGCUGUAGUCUGGUGCCAGUUCUCUAAUUUGUGCCCUGAAGUGUGCAGCCACACUUGAUUUAGAGGUCAGAAUGAGGCAGCACUCAGUUUGAGAAAUCAGCUGAAACAUUCUUAAAAAAAUUGGUCUGGAUAGCUUCACCUUGCAUUGUAAAGAUCAUUGCUCUCGUGUAAACAAGGGGCUAAAUAAUAUUAUUCCCAUAGACUUUUUUGAGGGUGUUUUAUCAAAGGAAAUGUCCUCAGAGUCAAAGCUUGCUGUGUUUUGUGCUUUAUCUGUACAGAAAAUUCCAUUUAGAGAAAUUUAAUGCCAAAGCUGUAAGAUCUGCAUUCCUAGAGAAUGACUAUUUAGGGCAUUGUCUUUGAAUAUGAAGUAAACACACACUGAGAAUGUU